rnacentral:rRNA from 1 species
GACGAACGCUGGCGGCGUGCUUAACACAUGCAAGUCGAGCGGUAAGGCCCUUUCGGGGGUACACGAGCGGCGAACGGGUGAGUAACACGUGGGUGACCAGCCCUCAGCUCUGGGAUAAGCCUGGGAAACCGGGUCUAAUACUGGAUAUGACUCCAUGACGCAUGUUGUGGGGUGGAAAGCCUUGUGCGGCUGAGGAUGGGCCCGCGGCCUAUCAGCUUGUUGGUGGGGUGANGGCCUACCAAGGCGACGACGGGUAGCCGGCCUGAGAGGGCGACCGGCCACACUGGGACUGAGACACGGCCCAGACUCCUACGGGAGGCAGCAGUGGGGAAUCUUGCGCAAUGGGCGAAAGCCUGACGCAGCGACGCCGCGUGAGGGAUGACGGCCU